UUUCCGUAGGUGAACCUGCGGAAGGAUCAUUACAGAGUUCAUGCCCUCACGGGUAGAUCUCCCACCCUUGAAUAUUUAUACCUUAGUUGCUUUGGCAGGCCGUGGAAACACCAUGGGCUCCGGCUUAUGCGUGCCUGCCAGAGGAAACAAACUCUGUUUUUAGUGAUGUCUGAGUACUAUAUAAUAGUUAAAACUCUCAACAACGGAUCUCUUGGUUCUG
rnacentral:misc_RNA from 1 species